rnacentral:rRNA from 1 species
GGGUCAGUAGGUUGGUCGUGCCACCGGUACGUACUGGUCUCACUGAUUCCUCCUUCCUGAUGAACCGUAAUGCCAUUAAUUUGGUGUUGCGGGGAAACAGGACUGUUACUUUGAAAAAAUUAGAGAGUUUAAAGCAAGCUAACGCUUGAAUACAUUAGCAUGGAAUAAUGAAAUAGGACGAUCGAUCCUAUUUUGUUGGUUUCUAGGAUUGACGUA